CCUACGGGAGGCAGCAGUAGGGAAUAUUGCUCAAUGGGGGAAACCCUGAAGCAGCAACGCCGCGUGGAGGAUGAAGGUUUUCGGAUUGUAAACUCCUUUUGUUAGAGAAGAUAAUGACGGUAUGUAACUAAUAAGCACCGGCUGACUACUUGCCAGCAGCCUCGGUAAUACGGAGGGUGCAUGCGUUCCUCGGAAUCAAUGGGCGUAAAGAGCGCGGAGGCGGGAUAGCAAGUCAGAUGUGAAGGCCUAUGGCUUAACCAGAGAACUGAAUUGGAAACUGGUAUUCUAGAGUAUGGGAGAGGUAGGUGGAAUUCUUGGUGUAGGGGUAAAAUCCGGAGAGAUCUAGAGGAAUACUCAUUGCGAAGGCGACCUGCUAGAACAUAACUGACGCUGAUGCGCGAAAGCGUGGGGAGCAAACAGGAUUAGAUACCCCUGUAGUC
rnacentral:rRNA from 1 species